UACGGAGAGUGCAAGCGUUCUCCGGAUUCACUGGGUUUAAAGGGCGCGUAGGCGGAUGAGCAAGUCUGUGGUGAAAUCCCCCGGCUUAACCGGGGAACUGCCGUGGAUACUGCACAUCUCGAGGAAGAUAGGGGCGUCUGGAACUAGCGGUGGAGCGGUGAAAUGCGUUGAUAUCGCUAGGAACUCCGGUGGCGAAGGCGAGACGCUGGAUCUUUUCUGACGCUGAGGCGCGAAAGCCAGGGGAGCGAACGGG
rnacentral:rRNA from 1 species